UUGGGCCGCGGCGGUUGGAGGGCGCCGCUGCGGUGAGUACGGGCCGGGGAAUGGGGGCUCCUGUGUGUGUAUAUCUUGUUUUAUUAUUUUAUAUAUCUAGUUGUGUGAGGGGUUGUUUUAGGGGCGGUUCGUGCCUCUGGAGCGCGGCCGCCGCGCGCGGAGACGGUUGGAACCGUUGGGAUUCGAACGCGCUGCGCCGCGGUUGCCUGGCAACGGCCCCGCCCUGCUCGUCUGAGGCGAGAGCGGUGACCCCAGCCGGCGACCCCUCAGCCCGCUCUCGGCCUUCCCGGCUGCGGCAGGGGCUGGGGGAAGGUGGGACAGGACAAGGUGGGCGGGGAGGAGGAGGCAAGCCCUGGUCGGUGAUGAGGAGCCCACUGCGCAAUCCGAGCUGCUGGAGAUGCCCAGCACAGGCCGCAGUUGCGGGACACGGCGGAAGAGGAGCCGCGCAUGCGGCAGGGAGAGAGGAGCCGCGGGGACGUGACUGGUCAAGCUGCUGAGACCUUGGCGCAGUCUCCGCGCAACAGGGCGGACAUAUGUGUGGCUCGCGGCACGGGGAGAUUAGGAACAUGGGUCAGAAAACUAGUGCGUCAAUGCCAUACUUGCCAUGUGACAGAGAACUGCUUUCUUCAUGCCUGUGCUCUAGCAAGGAUCAUGUCCCAGUAAAUCACUAUUGAUUGUGUAUUUUUAAAAUCUGAAGAAUACAAAAAGUUAGGAAAACAGUGUCACUUGUAAUAACUGCAGCCUUCUCCAGUUUUCUGCUUGAGGUUGAUUGAUUACAUUGAGUCUGCCAUCAAUGAUAACUCUAAGGGUACCAAAAUUGUCAUUUUUUUGUUUUUUACUGGUGCUAGUUUGCUGUACUAAUGCUUCCUUUUCUAAGAUGGAGUUGUGAAAUUUGAAUAGCGGGGUAACCGAAUUUAAUAUUUCUUGCCGUUCAGUAGAUAUUGUCAGGAUUCAUUUGCCAGGCAAUCUUGAAACAAGCCACUUCCUGUACUAGCCGCAAAUGUUCAUGAGGGAAAAAGAGAGGAAUUUGGUUUUAAACAUAGAGCACAUGGCCAUGCACAACUAUAAGUAUGACUGCAAAUGUUAUUUUCAGAUCUAUUAGAUGCUCCCAAUGUGGAUCCUAUUUUAAUAGCCUCAAAAUGCACAUUACCAUCGGUGGUAUUUAGUCUGCAAAAAAGAAGGUGGGGGAAGAGGAAUGAAGGAAGGGGAAGGAAGUAUUGACAACAGUUUUCAAAUAUAUAAAGGGCAGUUAUACAGGAGGAGGAUGUUAGACUAUUAUCUGUGGUUGCAAGGUACAGGGCACAGAGUAACAAUCUUAAAUUGCACCAUAGGAAACUUAAGUUGGAUAUUAAGAGAACUUUCUUACUCUGACAGUGGUUAAACAUUGAAACAGGUACCCAGAUAGAUUGAGGAAUCUUUGAACUUGCAGGUUUUUAAGAGCAGGUUAGACUAACAUUUGUGUAUGAUGCUAGAGAGAAAGAGAGAGAGAGCCCUAUUAGUCUGAAUUCAGGCAGAAGGCAGGACAGGGUGGCACCUUAAAGACAAAUUCAGAGAGAAUCUUUUUUAGGUAACAGCCUAGUCAGAGAUGAUCCUGCCUUGAGCAGGGUGAUUGGACUAGAUCAUUGUUUCUCAGCCCAUGGGUCGUGACCCAAAAGUGGGUUGCAAGAAUAUAUAAGAGGGUCGUGAACAAACUUUA